UACGUAGGGUGCAAGCGUUGUCCGGAAUUAUUGGGCGUAAAGAGCUCGUAGGCGGUUCGUCGCGUCGGCUGUGAAAACCUGAGGCUCAACCUCAGGCCUGCAGUCGAUACGGGCGGACUUGAGUACUGCAGGGGAGACUGGAAUUCCUGGUGUAGCGGUGAAAUGCGCAGAUAUCAGGAGGAACACCGGUGGCGAAGGCGGGUCUCUGGGCAGUAACUGACGCUGAGGAGCGAAAGCGUGGG
rnacentral:rRNA from 1 species